rnacentral:tRNA from 2 species
GCAGUCGUGGCCGAGUGGUUAAGGUGAUGGACUAGAAAUCCAUUGGGGUGUCCCCGCACAGGUUCGAAUCCUGUCGACUGCG